rnacentral:siRNA from 1 species
UAUUCUAGGAUAUGCAAAAGUU